rnacentral:rRNA from 1 species
CGGGCCUAACACAUGCAAGUCGAACGCACUAGCAAUAGUGAGUGGCGCACGGGUGCGUAACACGUGGGUAAUCAACCCUUCAGCCUGGGAUAACGACUCGAAAGGGUCGCUAAUACCGGAUACGGCGCGAGAGGCUUCGGCUUCUCACGAGAAAGCCACGCAAGGGGCACUGAAGGACGAGCCUGCGGCCCAUCAGCUAGUUGGUGAGGUAAGAGCUCACCAAGGCUAAGACGGGUAGCUGGUCUGAGAGGAUGAUCAGCCACACUGGAACUGAGACACGGUCCAGACUCCUACGGGAGGCAGCAGUGGGGAAUAUUGCGCAAUGGGCGAAAGCCUGACGCAGCCACGCCGCGUGAGCGAUGAAGGCCUUCGGGUCGUAAAGCUCUGUGGGGAGAGACGAAGAAAGCCUGUGAAGAGCAGGCCUUGACGGUAUCUCCUUAGCAAGCACCGGCUAACUCCGUG